rnacentral:rRNA from 1 species
CUACCGAUUGGGCGGCUUGGUGAGGACUUCGGACCGGACUGGCGUGCGGGAAACUGCGUGCUAGGCUGGAAAGUUGCACGAACCUGGUCGUCUAGAGGAAGUAAAAGUCGUAACAAGGUCUCCGUUGGUGAACCAGCGGAGGGAUCAUUA